UCCUAGAAGCCCUGUGGUUGGACGUUUUAUUGCUCUCUCUCUCUUGCUCUCCUGAUCUCUCUCUCCCUCUCUCCUCCUCUCUCGCUGUCUCUCCUUCAGUCUCUCAGUCCCUCUUCAUCCGCCCGUGAGUUUGUUUGCCUUGGCGAGUACAACAACGGGCUCCGAUCAGUGGCUUUCCUAUCUUCGUUUUCUUCUUCUUUUUUUGUUUUUUUUUAUCAAUGAGUGAGCUGUGCCUGCAUUCUCUACCACCUGGAAGACUGCAUCUCCAGGACUGGAAGGACCGGCAGGCUGGCUGGCUGGCUGGCUGGUUGGCUUACUGACUGUUUGACUGACAGACUCUGUGGGUAUUUGGUACUUUGGGGCUGUGGCGUCCAGCACAGAGGCUGAGACUGAAGGUAUACAUGGGGGUAACGGCUGUUUCACUGUACUGGCGACGGCAGUAGCAGCACUAUCUCCUCAGUGCUCCCUGCUCUCACUAGAACAGUAACCCACAUGAAUCAAGCACUGACCGGGACAGCACGGCGGUGUCGGCAGCAGCUGCAGCCUUAACGAUCCCAGUCUUCUCCUCGCAGGCGAGACGACUGACUCCUCGGCUUUGUGCACAGUGGGAGUGAAUCUCUCUCUCAGAAGGAACAGGAAUUAAAUGGGCACUCAUUAUGCCUGGAUUUGCAUCAGUAUAAGCGGAUAGCCCACAGUGGAGUGCAAUGGAAUGAAUGGAAUUCGGAGGAAAGGAGAGGUCUGAUUGGUGCCUGCAGAACACAUCUGACAUGGAAGGCCCCACCUGCCCCAUCCUCGGGCAGCAUGCCAUCUUCAAUCAAUCACUCAGCUCAUAGAGAACAUGACAUCACUCAGGCUCACACCACUAUUGAGGACCUCUGAGUUCCCCUGCUGCUGUCCCCAAUGACCUCUGUUCUCUUCCUCCCCCUCCUUCUCUGUGACUCUCUUCGGUGACGGGUAUUCUUGGGUGGAUAAUACGGAUCACGUUGUUAUUGCUUAAGAAUACGCGUAGUUGAGGAGAGUCCUCUCGACACUGACUUGGAGGAGCUAAAGGAGCUAACGUCCCGCUGCAUGAGCCAAAGUAGAGCCAGGAUGACUGCCUGGUUUCCAUAUCCAGGACCAUUUAUUAAGCAACUAGAAAGAUUAACAUAACCUAACUACUUUACUGGGCUUUCAGCUCUGCCCAGCCCCUAUGGACGCUAGCAGCAAAGAAAGACAGAGAGAGAGAGAGACAGAAGCUUAUUAAACUUUUACAAUUACCUCUCCCGUGAUGUUUUUUCGUAGUAGGCUAUAUCAUAAUAUUGUAAUUACUGUAAUAUGAUCUGAUUACCCAUUCUACUGAAUGUUGUGUCUUCUGUUGUGUCGACUCUACCAGUGUGAGUACUUAACAUUUUCUACAAUUUAUUCAUUUCGGCUUCAGGGUGAAACAGGCUAAUUUUCACUUUAGGGAGUUGUGUAUUGUUCUGCUGGCUUGCCUGGUGCAGUAAUAGAGAUUUGCUUUGGUCCUAAAAAUACGCAACAUUUAGCUUGCAUACAUAUAGAUUUUGUGGGAACACAGUUUCUGGCCUAAGGGCUACUUCCCAGAGAUGUCAAGAUGACCAUAUUGCCUGUGGAUACCUUAUUGAGAGUGAAAUAGAAUAUAUUGGGAGAAGGAGAAACUAUGUGAGCACAACUGAAUUCUACCUCAGUGCUGUGUAUCAAUACAACCCUGUAAAUCCAUUACAGAGAGGUAGUUGUUUGUGAUCUCAGAGUAAAUAUCAACAAUACGCAGAGAAACUGUGCUGGUACAUUAUUCCACAACCUAUCGCCAUGCAGACCCUCCCUCUGAAGAUCAAUUCUACAAGCCCAGUAAAACCAUUCCCCGACUCAUUCCCCAAUGCGUUAGCGACAAAGGGACAUUCUCAUCCAAAACGAUUUGCACAUCAAGAAGAGUCAUUACAUUUGAAUGAUGUGGGGAAACGUGCCUCUCUUAGCUUACACUGGUGGAAAUCAAUGAGGCCUGCAUUACAGUGUUAUUGUGACAGUCAGUCUGGUGAAUCAUGCUGUUAAAUGUUUUGCCGUUCGACAAAUCAUUCACCGACUCUUACCAAAUUGGCCGGAGAGCUUACGUUUGGUUGCAUUAGAUGAUAUCAAAUUAAAUAAAUGGAAGAAUUGAAGUUCCUCUCAAAAUGUCCCUAUAAUGACAUCUCUUGAAUCUGCUGUGCAUCUAAUGUUCCUAUCAUCUGAAGCUUGACUGAAAAGAUAAGGCAUGUCUGCUCUAGCCUCUAAUGAAUCUAUUUGUACUGUCAUAAUUGGAUCGUACCACUAGGGGAGCCCUGUAGCUGACAGUCAGAUAAUUAACGCAAUUAACUGUUUAAAAACAAAAAUCUUUAUAAGGAGUGUUCCUUUAGCAGCACUACUUGUGAAUCUGCACUGCUAGUAAGGCUAUGUGUUUGACAGUACAAAUGGGCAUGCUUUUGACAAUCUAUUAAUUCAGUUUAUGACAUUUUGAACAUCAUAUUGAGUCAUUGAUCUGAUAUUUUUGUUAAUUGAUUCAUUGAUUGUAUCUAUUUUUCUGACAUGUUGAAAACACAGACAAUCUGUAAAAUCUUAUGGAUCGAAAACUAUAUGACAAACAAUAAACAAACAUUUUUGAAAUA